GGGGUAAUGGCCUACCAAGGCGACGACGGGUAGCCGGCCUGAGAGGGUGACCGGCCACACUGGGACUGAGACACGGCCCAGACUCCUACGGGAGGCAGCAGUGGGGAAUCUUGCGCAAUGGGCGAAAGCCUGACGCAGCAACGCCGCGUGGGGGAUGAAGGCCUUCGGGUUGUAAACCUCUUUCACCAUCGACGAAGCCCUUUGGGGUGACGGUAGGUGGGGAAGAAGCACCGGCUAACUACGUGCCAGCAGCCGCGGUAAUACGUAGGGUGCGAGCGUUGUCCGGAUUUAUUGGGCGUAAAGAGCUCGUAGGCGGUUUGUCGCGUCGGCCGUGAAAACCUACAGCUUAACUGUGGGCUUGCGGUCGAUACGGGCAGACUUGAGUUCGGCAGGGGAGACUGGAAUUCCUGGUGUAGCGGUGAAAUGCGCAUAUAUCAGGAGGAACACCGGUGGCGAAGGCGGGUCUCUGGGCCCAUACUGACGCUGAGGAGCGAAAGCGUGGGGAGCGAACAUGAUUAGAUACCCUGGUAGUCCACGCCAUAAACGGUGGGCGCUAGGUGUGGGGACUGGUUCCACGGUUUCCGUGCCGUAGCUAA
rnacentral:rRNA from 1 species